GCUUUCUGUCAGAAUCUCGGACUUGAAGCACACUCAAGGUUGGAAUCUCGGACUUGAAGCACACGCAAGGUUGGAAUCUCGGACUUGAAGCACACGCAAGGUUGGAAUCUCGGACUUGAAGCACACGCAAGGUUGAAUCUCGACUUGAAGUACACGCAAGGUUGGAAUCUCGACUUGAAGCACACGCAAGGUUGGAAUCUCGGACUUGAAGCACACGCAAGGUUGGAAUCUCGGACUUGAAGCACAAUUAAAGGUUGGAAUCUCGGACUUGAAGCACACGCAAGGUUGGAAUCUCGGACUUGAAGCACACGCAAGGUUGGAAGGGCUGUGUGACAGGCGCAGCUGUCGCUAUCUAAUUGGUCGCUGAUGGCAGUUGGUAGGAUGUCUGCAAAAUGCCUGCAGCAUCUAGAGGAGCAGCCUCACCGGGACACGCGCAUUCAACUCAAGGAUUUGGAUUAAGAGAUCCCCUAAAGGAGAUUUCAUCCUGUUUAGCAAAAAAACAAAAAACAAAAAACAA